rnacentral:lncRNA from 1 species
UCGGUUGGCGAUGCUUGGAUUGCCUCCUGCUCGACUAUCUCGUCCACGUCGCUCCCUACCUCCGAUUUCACUGGCAGCAACCUCUUGAUGUCUUCGAAUACCUCCGGUGGUAACCGUCGAGGGGUUACAUCAUCCCGUCUUUCCAGAAAGGACUCGACCUCGAGUCUGACCGAAGGAAAACUUUUUAGUAGGUAGUCAGUCCUCUCUCACGAUGUAUCCUCAUUGCUUAGACCGUCCCACUUGAUUAACACCUUUGUUAUUUCUUUGCCUUUGUUCAAGGUCACUCUUUUAGCCAAGAUCGACUCUGGUACCACGACAGGAUCAUUGUUUAUCGCCAUUUGAGGUAACCUGCAAUAAUUAAUAAUUUUACCUUCUUCUUUAAAUUUCUUUAGUCUUGAUAUAUGAAAUACUGGAUGUAUUUUGUUUCCAGUAGGCAACUCAAGCUUCAUUGCAACAUUGUUGAUUUUUUUGACCACCUUAAAGGGACCAUAGAAUUUUUGACCAAAUUUAUGAUGAAAGUUUGCCUUCACAGAUGUUUAACG